rnacentral:misc_RNA from 1 species
UAAAGUGCGAUAUCUAAUGUGAUUUGCACGAAUCUGUGAGUCAUCAAGUUUUUGAACGCAACUUGCACCUCUUGGGCAACCAGGAGGUAUGUCUGUUUGAGAACCUAAUCUCCACUUGUUCCUAGCUAGGAGCAGAAAUGGGGUCGCAGCACUUUUUUGGUUAGAGGUGGUGGACCCUGAAAUGGAGCAAGUUAAGGUGACUAGGUUAUGGUUGUGUGCUAGGACCAGUUGGUCUUGUCAUGGCCGUAGCUGUCAGUCACUGUUGAUGAGUGGGCUGGGCUGGGUUGAGUUGGGCUGAGGUGGGUGCAUUGCACUCGUCACACUCCAAACCAAACCAAACCAAAACACAUCCAACCCAAAACAUCAAAACCUUCAAAUAUGGUCUCAAAUCAGUCAGGAC